AGUGAACGCUGGCGGUAGGCCUAACACAUGCAAGUCGAACGGCAGCACAGUAAAAGCUUGCUCUUACGGGUGGCGAGUGGCGGACGGGUGAGGAAUACAUCGGAAUCUACUUUUUCGUGGGGGAUAACGUAGGGAAACUUACGCUAAUACCGCAUACGACCUACGGGUGAAAGCAGGGGAUCUUCGGACCUUGCGCGAUUGAUUGAGCCGAUGUCGGAUUGGCUAGUUGGCGGGGUAAAGGCCCACCAAGGCGACGAUCCGUAGCUGGUCUGAGAGGAUGAUCAGCCACACUGGCACUGAGACACGGUCCAGACUCCUACGGGAGGCAGCAGUGGGGAAUAUUGGACAAUGGGCGCAAGCCUGAUCCAGCCAUACCGCGUGGGUGAAGAAGGCCUUCGGGUUGUAAAGCCCUUUUGUUGGGAAAGAAAAGCAGCAGGUUAAUACCCCGCUGUUCUGACGGUACCCAAAGAAUAAGCACCGGCUAACUUCGUG
rnacentral:rRNA from 1 species